AUUGAACGCUGGCGGCAGGCCUAACACAUGCAAGUCGAGCGGAUGAAGGGAGCUUGCUCCUGGAUUCAGCGGCGGACGGGUGAGUAAUGCCUAGGAAUCUGCCUGGUCGUGGGGGAUAACGUCCGGAAACGGGCGCUAAUACCGCAUACGUCCUGAGGGAGAAAGUGGGGGAUCUUCGGACCUCACGCUAUCAGAUGAGCCUAGGUCGGAUUAGCUAGUUGGUGGGGUAAAGGCCUACCAAGGCGACGAUCCGUAACUGGUCUGAGAGGAUGAUCAGUCACACUGGAACUGAGAAACGGUCCAGACUCCUACGGGAGGAAGCAGUGGGGAAUAUUGGACAAUGGGCGAAAGCCUGAUCCAGGCAUGCCGCGUGUGUGAAGAAGGUCUUCGGAUUGUAAAGCACUUUAAGUUGGGAGGAAGGGCAGUAAGUUAAUACCUUGCUGUUUUGACGUUACCAACAGAAUAAGCACCGGCUAACUUCGUG
rnacentral:rRNA from 1 species